rnacentral:rRNA from 1 species
CCUACGGGUGGCAGCAGUGAGGAAUAUUGGUCAAUGGGCGUAAGCCUGAACCAGCCAAGUCGCGUGAGGGAUGAAGGAUCUAUGGAUCGUAAACCUCUUUUAUAAGGGAAUAAAGUGAGGGACGUGUCCCGUUUUGUAUGUACCAUAUGAAUAAGGAUCGGCUAACUCCGUGCCAGCAGCCGCGGUAAUACGGAGGAUGCGAGCGUUAUCCGGAUUUAUUGGGUUUAAAGGGUGCGUAGGGGGCAAAGUAAGUCAGCGGUGAAAGUCUGUGGCCCAACCAUAGAAUUGCCGUUGAAACUGGGUGGCUUGAGUAUAUUUGAGGUAGGCGGAAUGCGUGGUGUAGCGGUGAAAUGCAUAGAUAUCACGCAGAACCCCGAUUGCGAAGGCAGCUUACUAAACUAUAACUGACGCUGAGGCACGAAAGCGUGGGGAUCAAACAGGAUUAGAUACCCCUGUAGUC